AGAAAAUUGUUUGAUGAGUGUUUAAGUUUGGCACUCGCCGAGUGUUCUUUUUCGUACUCGGCGAAGAUAACACGUCAUCGAUCCACACCUCUCAAAAAAUACUCUCCCAUUGGUCCAAAACAUUUCACAUGGAUCCCUCCCUCCCUCCCUCCCUCCCUCCCCAUCGGAUAAGGCAGCAUCCUCUCCCAGUCUCCCUCCCUCACGAACACAGACCUCGGCAUCGAUCUCAUCGUCUCCCUCGUCCCUCCCCAAUCAGCUCGGCGCGGCGCAGAAGGCUGGCCCUGGUGGCGGCGCGGACACCAGUGGCGGUGCGUCGCGGCCACCAGGGGCGGCUCAGCGCGCCCACCAGGGGGCGGCUCGCGGCGGCCACCAGGGGGAACGCCAACACGGCCUGCCUCGGGUUCGUCAAGGCGGCCAGCGGCCAGGCGCCGGAGGUGGUGCUCGGUGGGUUCCAGAUGGAGAAUCGCCUGCUGGUGCUCGACGAGGAGCAGCGGCAGCUCGGCUUCACCUUGUUCCUCAACGCGGUUGGGCUUUCCUGCAGCAACUUCAAUUUCACUCUUGCCGCAUAGCUGUGUACUGGUGUGGUGAAUCUCGAAGCCAGUUGUGUACUUCAAUUUCACUCUUGCGAAGCUGGGACACAGGGACACAGGGAGCGACGCGGCCACGGAACCCGCGGCGGCGCGGCCUGCCGGGCACCGGGCGGCGGGGUAAUUUUUUUUUAUGUUUUCAGAAAUUGUUUUUCGAGUGCCACACAGAAAACACUUGACGAAGCGCCGUCACCGUCAACUCCCUCCACGUCCUGCCCCCUCUGUGGACUGGUAUUCGCCGAGUGUUUUUUGGCCUUCGCCGAGUGCUCCCGGCACUUGGCAUCUUCAAACUUUCCCGUAGUGGGUGCACAGAAGCCCUAUUUCCACGCACCUUUUGAUCUUCUCUAGCUGUGACUCGUCAGACAAUGAAGUAUUAAACAAAUUCUUUGUUUGUCCAUCUUGAAACACUGCCCAAGCCUGUCAAAGAAUAUUUUUUAGAUAAAGGUUAAUAUCCGACCUUUAUACCCACAUGGUGGAUAUAUACGGGCAAAAAUUACAAGAUUUCUUAGAUUACAAACCUCAAAAUUUACUGAUUCAAUGAAAGUACAAGAAAGAAAGCUCUAAGAAAGAAAAAAACCUACCUAGAUGACUAAUUUUAUUUUGUCCUGAUAUAGUUCCCAAUAAAGAAAGCCUGUCAAAAAAUAUGCCUCAUAUAAUUCACAAAUAUGCAUGAGACUCCCAUUGAAGAGUACUCCCCCGUUCACUUUUAUAAGGUGCACACGCAUAUCAAGAUUCAAACUUUGGAUUCUUUGACUCCUAAUUUAUGUCCUUAACUCCUUGAACUCAUUCAUUUUUGGACUCUACUAAUCUACUAAUUAACAGCUUGUCCACAAAUAUCCUUGGAAUGGUUACUAUCAUUUGAAUCAUGCAUGGAUCGAGCUAGUAUGGUGCAUACAACAUUGCUGCAGCUCAGGAUUGGAGUGAUCAAACAUAUGUUCAUCGCGGACGUGGUUUAGAUUGGCAUAUAUCUCUGACGGUCUCAAGGAGGGUGACACCAAAACUGUACACAUCGCACUUCAACGACAAACUACCAGUUGUAACAUAUAGUGGAUCCAAGUAUGUCCUGUCGGUUUAAAAAGCACGGACGGAUCUCAGACAGACGCAGAAAAAGAAAAACAAAAGCAUCAUGCACUUGAUAAUGGAAUUAGAAUAAUGUCUCACGUUGUUCCUA